rnacentral:lncRNA from 1 species
GACACUUUAGUCCCUAAUUCAUAAAAUCACAAAUUUUGCACACAUGCCUAGCCGAAUAUUCAUAGUGUCCAUACAAGCCCCCACAUUUCUUUUAUCUUACAUUUUAGUCUCUCAAAAUAACAUUUUUACAAUUUAGCCCAAAUUACUCAAUUUCAUCAAAAAUCCAAAAACAAAACAUGUAAACCCAACAUCAAGCUUUCAUAUUUCAACAUAUAACAUCACCUAGCUCAUGAAUUUAUCCAUGGCAUUUUUCCAAAUC